CAACUACUCCCUCUGUCCCAAAUUUCUUGUCUUAGAUUUGUCUAGAUACAGAUGUAUCUAAUACUAAAAUGUGACUUGAUACAUCUGUAUCUAGACAAAUCUAAGGCAAGAAUUUUGGGACAGAGGGAGUACUUU
rnacentral:pre_miRNA from 1 species